CUCACUUUGUGACCCAUGCUGGAGUGGACUGGUGCAAUCAUGGCUCACUUAUAUUUUGUUUUUGUAGACAUAGGGCUUAUGCCAUGUUGCCCAAGGCUGGUCUCAAACUCAAGCACUCCUCCCACCUCAGCCUCCUAAGUGUUGGAAUUACAGGUAUGAGCCACUGCAUCUGGCCAAGGGAUGUCUUCUGAACCCGAGACCUCCACACCAUCUAUCCUUGUGUGCUGAAGAGUGGUACUCUGCCACCUUGAGUUGCCAUCCCUGCUGCACUCCAGCUUGGACUCCAACCAUAUUCAUUCAACAGAUGGUGAAGCCCUCUAUUGUCCUUACUCCCAAGUUCCUGUCCCAUGACCAGGG
rnacentral:lncRNA from 1 species